CAGUUCGGCUGGGGCCUAGUGUUUCCCGAGCUCAACCCGCAAGGCCAGCGUCCGCGGGGCGAGCGGGGCUCCGGAGCGGAGCAUGAACCGCGGAGCUGGGCCUUGAAGCCCCGCCGAGCCGCCACCGGCCACCUCCGGGGCUCCAGACGCGGCGAGGACCCCGACAGCCGGCGGGACACGGGACAGCACAGGCUGCCCGAAGCGGGUGAGGGCGGAAAACCGGACAGACCGGCAGAUGCAGACGGAUAGCGACUUCCAAAGCGGUAACGCCGACACUCACCAUGUCGCCGGAACCGAAGCCCAAGCCGGAGAGGAAGAGACGCAGUGCGCAGGCGCGGUUUUAGACCGUGGGCGGAAGUGACGUCAGCGGCCCCCCCCUCUAGGCACUGAACUCGGUGUUCUGGAGGUUUACUCGCUGUCUCCCUAAGUGUUGCAAUCACAACGUUGUGACUGGGUCUCCUUGCUUACCCCACCGUUAAACUUUUCGAAAAUCGUCAGCCCCUGAGCCAGAUGCUAACCAUAGUAAAAGCCUAGGAUCCGCUCCCAGGCUAAGUUGCAGUUCAGCUGGGAGACAGUCGUACUAUGUCACAAUUAGGAGUUAUGAAAUGUUGCUGCUCAGAGCUCUGGGGGUAAGCCUGCAGGCACACAUUUCAUUUCCUUACUCUCUUGGAGAAGUGGCUGACUCAAGCAUCGCGUCCUUCAGGAUCUGAGUACUGUGCUGAGAGGGUGACGGGAACUCAAGAGCAGCAGACAGCGCAAUAAUGAUGCCAGAUGGCACUGUUUGAAAGG